rnacentral:lncRNA from 1 species
CAAAGCAUGGAGUGAAGAGGAAAAGAAAGAACACAAACCCUAGGUGGGAAAAUUGAAGAAAAAGUGUGGGAUUCCAAGGGAUUAAGCUAAUAAAGGUAAAAUUUUAUGAUUUUAUCUUGUGAUUUAAACUACCCAUGCUUUCUUUUUCAUUUUCGAUGCUUAGAACUCAAGUUUGCAUGAUGAGCCCAUGCUGGUCGAAUUUGAAAGCAGAGGUUUUGAACAUUGAUUUUGCUAGAUUUGAAGCUAAUUAAGUGUUUUUGGUUGUUUGGUAAUGGAAAGUAUGAAAAUCUAGCAAGGAAUCCUUUUGUUCUUCACAAAACCACGAGAAGUUGAAUUUUCUAGAGAGGAUAUUGAGGCUGAAAUUGAGGAUAUUUCAUGAUAUUUUGGUGGUAUUUAAUGAUUUGUGAGGCUAGAAAUUUAAUGGAAAAUUUAAUGAUAUUUCAUUAUCUAAAGUGGUUUUUAUUCGAUUUUGUGAAUUUUAUGGAAAAUUAAUUAAAUGAUUAAUUUUUUGAUUUUAUAAACAAAAUGUGAUUUAAUGAAAUGAUUUCAUAAAAUUGUUUUAAAAUUGAAUAAUGGUUUGAAAAUAGAGUAAUUGGAGACCAUUUGAUGUAUUGUGAAUUUAUGGUUCUAAUUGAUUGUGUUAUGACAAUAUUGGCAUGAAUGGCUGAAUUGGCAUUUGUGUUGAAAUGUAUAAACUAUUGUUUGCCUUAAUAGGCUGGAAAAUGAUAAAAUUGCCAUAUCAUGUUAUUGAAUUUUAUUGAUUGGUGAGAUGAUUAUUAGCUUACUACAGUGGGCGGGUUUCGUGGACCAGCCUAUUAGAAGGGCACGAUAACCCCGUUAUAUUCUUACCUCAGUAUGAGAGGCGUGGGUGGAUAACUCCUAAGGCUAACACUUUUAGAGUUCACUUCAUGUCGAACCACCACGUGAGGGGGAACUCAUCCAAUUGCAAGGAACGGCUAUGUUUUCAAAAUAAAAACAUGAUUUAUGCGUACAUAACUUUUUAUCAGCCUUGACGGACUCAGUUGGGAUAGCCCUCAAUCAAGGUAUCCUUGAUAACUGAGUAUGAGAAUGAUUUUGGUACGAGCCAAAGCUUUUAAGAAAUUCAUAAGCCAUGUUAAUUACUCGAUUUAUAUGAAUUGAUUUUAUUUGGUUGAAACAAGUUGAAAAGUGAUGAAUUUCAGUAUGUUAAACUAUUUUAUCUGUCUCCAUUUACUCAACUUUAGAUGGUUUAGAUGGUAUCUGUUUACUCACUAGGAUUUUAUAAUUUCACCACCCUCAUUUUCAACUAUUUCAGGCCUGAGGUAGCUUGUAGAUAGCAAAUAUCGUCAAGGAUUAUAGUCAGCUUUACUACUCCAAGAAUUGUAGGUUUACUGCCUCUGUGCACUUUUGUUCCUUAUGGGCCCAUGAGUCACUGUAAAAUAAAUUUCAUAUGCCGGUUAUCUGUAUUAUAGUACGUAUGAAUUUAUUUAGCUUUUACAUAACAAAAAUUAUUUAUCGAUGAUUUUACAAAUAUUGUUUUACAAGAAAUUAGAAUAUUUUUAUUUUAUUCUAAUAGUUGCAAUAUCAUUUUUAAUAAAUGUUUUAGACACCCAAAUUUGUUUUAAAUCAUGAAAUAUGUGUUUUUCACUCAUCUACUACAUCUUUAGUAGGGUUCGAAAAUUUUUGAGGAAAAAUGACGAGAAUGCCCCUGUGAGGCGAAAAUUAUUUUUCCAUGGUUUUGAAAGGGAAAAGGCUUAAAAUUCUUUAAAAAUGCGGUUUGGCGAUGAUUACUCACAAGGGAGAUGAAAAAAAUGGUACUAAAGCCUUGCGAAAUUCCGAUUGGCACUUCGGGUAACAAAUGUCUAUCGGGACGUCGCGACGGUUGUCACGGGCUCGAAAGGAGUACCAGGUCGUGACAAUUCGAGUGGUAUCAGAGCAUUUGGUUUUAAAGGCCAGAAUAUUUGGUUUUAAAGUUGUUUUUAAAAAAAAACUAUAAUGUCAGUGUGGCCCCAAGUUAAGUUAAGUUAGAUUAGAUUUUGUUGGAUAGAUACAUCUGCAUAUAGAAACCUACUUGUCCUUGUCGGAUAUAAAUGAUCAAGAAAUUACCAUUUGGUUACAUAUAGGUUCUGGUGCAUGGAUAGCACUUACAAUGCCUAGGAGAAACAGUGAUUCUGAUACCUCACAUUGUACUAGUAAGGGAUGAAUAGAUUCCACCACUGAAAGCCGAUGUCGUUCUGAACCCAGUAAUCUAGAAAGAUAUCCAUUUAGAGUUCCUAUUAAUUGGACUCCAUCGGAUUUGGGAGCGAAGGUUCGGAUAAAGGAAAACGCUAGUACUAGUGAGACUUAUGAAAGUGUUGACAGUAACGACGUUAAUGAAGGCAUAACAAAAUUUCAUUUUGAAAGAAAUUGAGGAAUGUAGGAAAAUCCAACAGGCUCAGAUUAAAAAAAAAAAACAAAGAGAUAAAGCUCCAAGAGAAUCCGAAAGAGGAUCAAGGUGAUGAUGGCCCUAAAGAUACUUAGUGUUUUGUUAAAGUUGUACUACUUUAACUCUAGAUAGAUGUAGUAUAAAGGAAAUAGUAACCACCUGUAUACAGGAAUUAAGAGUUGACUUUUAUUUUAUAUAAUGUGAAUGAAGUAGUUGUUUAAAUGACUGGAUAUAUGUAUAUGGGAACCUUUUUGGUAGGACAGAAGUGGAUUAGUGGUAUAAUCAUUGAGGAGGGGCAUUCACCUUAGCGGUGUGAUUAGUUGCCUUAUAUAAUUACUGAGAAUUGACGUAGAAAUUCAUCAAUGGUAUGGGCAACUACAAUACCUGAUAAGUGACUUCAAAAUUUCUUAUGGAAAAGGUGAAAUUUGAAAUUUCAGUUGCAGCUACAAAUUUGAAAGGAUAUAAGUGACACUUAUAAUGGAUUUUUGAUUCUAUGAGGAUUGUGAAUAUAAGUGUAAAGAAAGAUGAAGGUAUGAGAUAUCGAUAAGGAAUAUCAAUGUUAAGUGAUGAAGUAUGAAUAACGAAUUACAAGUGUGGCAUGGUAAAUGAGUUAAUGUAAAGUGUUGCUAUGAGAAUUUAUAAUUCUUGUCUCGACUCAGUUGAAUAAAAAGGGGCUAGUAACAACACAAGGUCGAUUAUGUUGAUAUAAAGCUGAAAUGGUUAAAGGCGUUCCCUUCGAGGGGGGAAGCAAAAGGUUUGGGGUUUGAAACUUAGCGAGAAGGUCCUGCAGGGCCUGUCGUGCUGCCCUUCGACGCGGCGUAUGCAAGUAAGUCAAGUGAUGGGGACCCAGACGUAACAAUACUUCGGAGUAGGCCCCAAAGGGGAUGCCACAUAAAUGGCUAAGUUACGGGUUAAGUGAUCACAUGUUGUGAGACAUAAGUUUAAGAUAGAUAUCCCUAAGGAAAUACUCAAAAGAAGUUCUACCAUGGAUCUCGUGAAAGCAAGCAUUAGGUUAUGCGGUUAUAAAAAGGAAGCUGUAAGUUGAGAGUGAUAUUAGUAUUAAUAUUGAAAAGUACUUAAGGAGAAUCUAGUUUCAAGUUUUGCAACAAGUGCAAUUUGUAAAUUGGUUAAGGAAGAAUGAUGUUAUAUUCAUAUGAAAGAGUGGAACAAAGGAUGAUUGAAGUUGACCUUGAUAAUGAAGUUAGAUAAUGAAACUUUCCUUAUAUAUUAUGGAAAUUAGAAUUCGAAGAUGCUUGAGGCAUACUGAUUUAAAUGAGUCUGAGUUUUAAGUGACAAAUCAAUAUCGAAAUGCAAGAAGGAUACAAAAUAAUAUAGAGGCAUGAAGAAUAAUCGAGGAAAAAGGAUGACUCUUAGGAAUUGUGGUAUUGCAUAAGAUGCAAUGAUCAAGUUAAGAUAAAUCUUUGAAGUAUCAAUGGGAUUAUAAAGCAUACACGCAUAAUAGAUUAUAAUUCAAUGGGGAUGACAUUAUGAUGCAAUGAUAUAUAGUACAAGGAAACUUAAACAUACCAUUCGAAAUGAACAAAGAGAAAUUAGUCUGAAGGUAUUUGAAAAUAGAUACCCGUAUACAUAAUGAGGAAUAUGGACAUUUGAAUGUGCGUGUAUACGUAUAUGUGGAGAUUAAUGUUCUAAUCGCAAACUUGCGAUAAAAAGAUAGUUUUGAAAAUUGUGGUUUCCAUAAUCAUGAAAUAUAUGGAGAUUAUCAAUAUGUAGGCAUACACUUGGAGUUAUACAUCUUGUGAUCCCCAUGCAUCAUAUGGAAGGAGAUAUUCCAUAGGGGAGCUUACCUUAAUUUAUGGUUACAUGACAAUAGGUUUGACAUGAAAUUAAGAGUGCCUUGGCAUAAAUGUAGAAUGUAGUGUGAAAGGUUAAAAAGCCAUAUAUACUUUAACAAAGCCAAUAACAUGAAGGAGGGGGAGAUAUGGAUGUUGAUAGGCUAAGCAUAAGGACUUAAGGAUAAUUAAUGUAAUUAUAGUAAGUUAGAUGGUAUGAUCCUAAUUAAGAACAUGGACGCCUUGGGAGAUUUUGAAAUAAUGUUCAGUGGGGUUAGUGAGCUAAAGUGUUAUUGGGCAUGCAAUGAAUGACUAAAGUUAUGAGUGACUUUGAAGAUAAGCCUUGGAUUGUUUAAGUUCUCAAUGAAACUUUAUUAUAGGAAACGUAUGGAAAAGCAUAAGAGAAUAUAUUAGUUUGACUUACUAUAAGAGGUCAAAAGUUGGAUGGCCAUGAGUGGCUUGUAAGUAACCCAAGAAUGUAUAGGUAAGUGUGCAAGGGAGCUAUGAUCGAUAGAUAAGGGUAGAACUUUAAUGACGAGACAUUGUUCGCUAAGUUAGACCUUGAACUAUAAAAUAUGGAUAUGUAUCCACCUUAUGAAUACUCUGAUGUGAUAAAUUCGAAAAACUUUUCGCAAUGAGAAAACAUUAAAGCUUAAGGAGCAAAUGGCUAUACAGUCAAGUUAGACUCAUGACUGACAUGUCACAUAAGUAUGAGGAUGGGAACAAGCAUAAGUAUUCUUGGAAAUACUGGUUUGAGGCAAUGAUUAUCCUUGAUUUUAUAUUGUGUCAAGGUGGUGUGCCCUUCGACAAAGGCAAGGAAAACGCUUGGGGAUCACUAAGCUGAGUACACCCGAAAUCUGAACUUUU